GCGGAUUUAGUUUAAUGGUAGAACCUCUGAUUUCCACUCAGACAGUGCGAAUUCGAUUUUCGCAAUCCGCUCCA
rnacentral:tRNA from 1 species